UACGAAGGUGGCAAGCGUUGUUCGGAUUUACUGGGCGUAAAGGGUGCGUAGGCGGCUAUCUAAGCAGGGUGUGAAAGCCCCCGGCUCAACCGGGGAAUUGCGUUCUGAACUGGAUGGCUGGAGUGAGAUAGGGGUGUGUGGAACUUCCAGUGGAGCGGUGAAAUGUGUUGAUAUUGGAAGGAACGCCGGUGGCGAAAGCGACACACUGGGUCUCAACUGACGCUGAGGCACGAAAGCCAGGGGAGCGAACGGG
rnacentral:rRNA from 1 species